rnacentral:lncRNA from 1 species
AGUUCUAUUCUCUCUUGGAUAGCCUUUUGUAGUGAUUUGGUCAAGAUCUUAGAUAAGAAGUUGUCUUCUUGGUUGAGCUGCAUAAUUAGCAUCCACUGUUCUUCUGAAUAACGGUGUUAAAUCAUCCAUCAUUAAGUUAAAUACAACUUCGAAUAUGGAGGCUUGUUGCCCAGAUAUGGAGCUCAAGAGAGGAGGUGAAUUGGAUCUUUUUAAAAUUUUAAGAUUAGAGCACUAAAAGUAAUGUGCUAAAGUGUUAAGUGAAG